CCCUUGGAUGUUCUGGGCCGCACGCGCGCUACACUGAUGCAUUCAACGAGCCUAUCCUUGACCGACAGGUCCGGGUAAUCUUUGAAUCUGCAUCGUGACGGGGAUAGAUUAUUGCAAUUAUUAAUCUUCAACGAGGAAUGCCUAGUAGGCGCAAGUCAUCAGCUUGCGUCGAUUACGUCCCUGCCCUUUGUACACACCGCCCGUCGCUCCUACCGAUUGGGUGUGCUGGUGAAAUGUUCGGAUCGGCCGUUUGUCGCGGUUUCCGCGUCAUGUGGCUGAGAAGUUCAUUAAACCCUCCCACCUAGAGGAAGGAGAAGUCGUAACA
rnacentral:rRNA from 1 species